AUUCAAGAUUUCAUAUUACUGUAAGGAAAACAUGUGAAUAUCAACAAUUAGAAUUGUAUCGCAUAGUUUUAGUUAGUUGCUAGUUUAUUUUUUGUGCUAAGAACUGUAUCAUAUGAAACCUUUUACAUUACACAAGUUUAGAUGUGUAUUGAACUUCUAUUUUCUGUAUUGGCCUGUCCCAUUUUUGAGGGACGACCGUGACUAUUUCAAGACGUAAGGAUUGGGCGUUUAUUUUCGUUGUAAUUCGGGACUACAUCUAUCGAAAAAUUAUCAAUUCAUAAUUAGUGGAAAAGAGAAUUGGCCUUGUGAAACCUUUCUGCAAAAGCAAUUUUCUGAUGCUUUGUCAUUUACCAUGUUUACCAUUCUCUUUUGUUCAAAGCAAUACAAAUGUGUAAUUGUUAUGCUAGUAGUUAAUAGUUAUUAAUAUUUAAAAUUGUUGUCAUAUAUUAUGUAUUAUUACUUAGAACAUCAAACUAUGUUAGUUUUAGAUUAUCAUCCGUCC
rnacentral:lncRNA from 1 species